GAGUGUUAAAUUCUACGAAACUCAUUAUUUCACAUAGGAUGUGAUCCAAAAUUACAUUUGAUAUUCCCACAUAGGGUAAACCAUAUAUAUUACAAAAUAUACAUACAGCCUACAUAAUUAAGGAAAAGGAACAUGAAUAUUCUAUCCAAAUAUACAUCACUCAAAUAAUGAACCAAAGAAGAAAAGAAAAGAAAAGCACUGCAGGAUUUUAUGCACUUGAAACCUCAUAUGGCCACCCAAAGCUACAUAUCACCUCACUCAAUCUUUUCUAUUAUUUCCAACCUGGUUUUCCUCUUCCAACCUUUCAUUGUAGCAACAAGGUUAAUCAACCCAACAAUUUGAUUCUUAGAAUAUUCUGGGUGAGCACGGGCCCAGUGCACAUACUCAGUUUCUGGAAGGUAGUAAGCCUUAAUGAAAGUUUCAACUAAUUGUAACUUUGGCUUCACAUUUAUGGAGACAAAAUGUUGCAAGCCAUUGAUCAAAACCUG
rnacentral:misc_RNA from 1 species